GGAGCUAACUUCUGUGGUGAGUCCCUGGAGCCGGGGCUCUGAAAAGCUGCCAGGAGCUGGCGUGCUAGAGACCCCAGGGACUGGGAGGGAUGGCUGUGAAGCCUGGGGCCGAGGACAGAGUUCAGACGGCUUUCGGUUUGUGUGAGAAACUUGGUUAAAGAGAUAAACCUCCUUGGCUGAGCCUGGGUGUGGCAGCGCAUGCAUUGAGGCCUAGUCCGGUGAGAGGACCAUAUCCCACGUAUCACUCCUCAAGAGAGCCUAGUGCGAUAACACUAGUGUUAUAUAAAUAUGAGUAAACAUAUGUAAACAAGAUGGGAUUUAAGUAACUAUGACUCUGCCGGUUUCUCUUGUUGUUCUCCUUCCUACACCCCACCCCGGAGCCUUACAUAAUGUGGCAUUUCGGUUGCUAGAGUCAUUCUUUUCGCAACAUUCCUUCUCUAUAAGGUCCGGAUUCAGCAGAGCACUUUGAGGCAUCCCAGGGGGACCAUUUAGGCACUUCAACACCUGAUUAAGUGCAUUGAUGAAUGAGGCAGUAUUGUCUAGAGGAUGGAGCCCAGGACUGGGACUCAGGAGUCAUGGGUUCAAUUCCCUGGUCUGCUGUGGGAGCCACUUCCCUCUCUCUGCCUCAGUAUCCCCAUCUGUAAAAAGGGAAUAAUGAUACUGACCUUCUUUGCAAAGCACUAUAUAAGAGCUGGGUGUUAAAAGAGGGUCUCAAUAAAAGACUAACCUUUCUUGAUCAGAGAUCUACAGGGCAUUAGCUGAGUUAUCCACGCACUGCAGUCGGAUAGUACAAAACUACAUGCAAGACUCGGUACCGUUCACAAAAUUAUCGAGGCAAGUGAGGUUUUGCAAGAACAAAACGUUUUGCCUGGUUUUUGCAUAUUCAGACCCCAGUUCAGUUAAGUCUCUUUAUCCAGCAAAACUCUGAUGUGCAUCGUUAACUCUAAGCAAGUGUAUAAAUUGCAUUGGCUUCAGCUGGAGUCCAGCACGGGUUUAUUCGCAUGGGUGAACUGGGUCGUCAAUUAAUUUUAAAUAUUAUCCCUUUUGUUUGCAAAUCACUGAAGGAAUCAUUCUGAUUUGAACCAAUUGCAUGAGUCAUGCCCCAGUAAUCCAGGGCCAUGAAAAUAAUGGAACUGGUUCCUUCCACAAUAAUCCUUGGACUAUGGGGGGAAAGGGAAUCUGUCAUUACCUGUAGAGACUUUUUCUGAAUGAAAGCAAAGCUAGUGAAUGAUUUUGCUCUUUCCUUGUGCAAUGAUAAUCUGGGCUGCACAUGCUGUGUCUGUACAGCACCUACCACAAUGCGGGCCUGGUCUGUAGCAGAGGCUCCAAGGUGCAAAUAAUGAAUGGUAAUACAAUGUGAACAGUAUUCUGUACAUGCCACAAUCUAGCCAAGGCCAUCGGGAUGCUGGGGAUUUGGGAGAGGUUCAGCUCCUGAGGAAGACGAACAUGUACAGCAAUGGUGCCUGGAGAAAGUCAUCAUUCACACGACAGUGCCUCGAUCCAGGAAACCUUACACUGCUUGCCAGAGCAAAAGCCUUUAGUCAUAGAAAUUAUAUAGUGUGCCGAGCAUGAGAGGCCUUUGAAAUGUGCUGGGUUUGUCAAAGCAAAAUAAAUUAAGUGCCCAGUCCUGCUUUCCCCACAACGGUGAUGUUCGUACACAUGUAACAGUGGAUUUGGGCAGAAUUUAGGCACAGCUGGAAUAAAGGGGCGGGGGAGGGCGGAGAAGCUGCACAGCCCCAUGGGGAAGGGGGACUCUGCCUCCUAAAUCGUUACCCAUGUUGCACAGUGUGGCAAGGGAGAAUAAUUUGCAGCUGGGCCCACUGCUGGCUGGGAGAUGGGGGUGCAGAGCUGUGGUGCAACCUGCUGCCCAUUCCCCACCCAGUUGUCCCCAGAGGGGACUUAUCAGAGGAACAGCCCCUGCACUAUGUGGAACAAAGGGUCUGUAAUUCUGGAGAAUCCAUCACCAUCUACUCAAUGGUGAAGGGGAAUCCUCAUGGUUGCGUGAAGCAAAGGCACACUGAAGCCCUUAAUUUUGUAGGCUGCACAGAAAGUAUUCCCGCAGGAGCCCAUUGACCUUGAGUAAUGCCUCAGCUGAGCAUAAAAUGCUCUGAUGUAUCAAAUAUUUUGCUUUAGGCCAAAUCUCUGCCACGCAUCCUGCACAUUAGAAGUGAAAGCUGAAGUGGAAGCAGAGAAUGCUGAGUAAUGGUCUUUUCUGUUGAGGGCUCCAUGUUAAUCUAACUAGGCUUGGGAGAAGGCGGUCGUUUUUAUAAUAAUAUUGACAACUAACAUCAGUUUAUUUUUCAGCAUUUGUUUUUAUUUGUAUUGAUUUACAUGUUCACAGUUGUGCAGAAUUAUGGAAGGAUCAGACAGUGCGGGGGGCACACAAUAAUCAUUUAAUGACAGUAGCUGCUGCAGGUCAAAGUUUUAUAACCAGUAAACCACAAAUUGUCAGCAUCACAUGUCAAAACUAUACACAGGGAAAGAACAGUGCUUCAUACUUUUAACACCUUCACCAGGAGUUCAGGACCUGGUCUCCUGAGAUAUACCCACCAGCCAUCAGAGGACAUAAAGCUAACUCACCGUGGUUAAUUUGUCCGGCUUGGCUGAGAGGUGCAGUUCGAAGAAAAGCACAGUUAUUUCCUUUGUGAAAUCUUCGUCUCCUGAAGGAAACAAAGCAGGUUGGCAAGACUUGGUAGAGUAAGACAGUCUGUACUACACAAAUAAGCAAUAAUCAGGAAAUAUACAGUGCAGCUUGUUUCUGCCCACACGCCUCAAGGGUUCAGCAACUGCUGACAACCAGUGGCUGCAUAUAAUUCAUCUUUAAAUCACAUAUUCAACAAA